UGUGCAGUCUUGACACCAAACGGUGCAUCUCGCUCAAGCAGAGGAGGUCUAUGGUUAGAAUCCUAGUGUCACAUCUCAUGGAGCGGUUCGGAGAGACUCCAGCAUUGGAAACAAGGAAAACCUGGCCUCAUCUUUAGUGACGGAAUUUCCGUAUCUAAGGGAUCAGCAUGGGAACGGCAAUGAGGCGUGGUAUAGUCCAGGUCGAACUCACAGACCAGCAACUGGCUUCGUUGAAGAGCGUUUAAGAAAUGUACGGAAGAGGCUCCGUAGUGGAAAGUGCAGACCUAGCCCUGUGGAGAACCCUGUAACUAAUUGGUAUUGCCAGAGACUGAAAUAUCUGAUGAGAGGGCAGUGGCGAUGACGGAGUGGUUAAGAAAUAACAUCCGACCCCUUAACCAAGUAGAAGAAUACAUGAAGCAGACAGCCAUCCACAGAGCUAAGUGGAUAAGGGAGCAUGGGUCAAAGACAGUGGAGGAGGUCAAAAAAGAGCAUCCACGUCUUUUGGAUACUCCAGGAAUGAUUGCUCAGGACUUUGCCAUUCUACACCCAGCCUGUGCUGGGAAACUUGGAUAACUGGCAGAAAAGUGGAUGCCCGUUUUCAGAGACAGAAAUUUAUGGUUUGCUAGCCAGGAGAAGCAAGCUUCUGGAAUUCUUUCAAGACUGGAUUCUGUGUGUGCAGAUGCGCAAGGUGACAGGGCUGUGAGAUUAUUGCCAGUAGUCCUACCAGCUUCUGUCUAUAGGAUUCUGCCGGAAGACCUUCCGUCUGAGCUGUGAAGAGACAAGAAAGUCAUUCAUUGAUCUACAGCCUACGGAAAAAACCUGAGCUCGCUACGGAAAUUCCUG